UACAGAGGUCUCAAGCGUUUGUUCGGAUUCAUUGGGCGUAAAGGGUGUGUAGGUGGCGCCGUAAGUCGGGUGUGAAAUUUCGGAGCUUAACUCCGAAACUGCAUUCGAUACUGCGGUGCUUGAGGGCUGGAGAGGAGACUGGAAUUCAUGGUGUAGCAGUGAAAUGCGUAGAGAUCAUGAGGAAGACCAGUGGCGAAGGCGGGUCUCUGGACAGUUCCUGACACUGAGACACGAAGGCCAGGGGAGCAAACGGG
rnacentral:rRNA from 1 species